rnacentral:tRNA from 2 species
GGUCCUAUAACUCAGUUGGUUAGAGUGUCGUACUAAUAUUAUAACUUGCACUUAUAACAUCGGUGAUGCGAAAGUCGUGAGUUCAACCCUCACUGGGACCA